UGAGAGUGCCAAUGUUGAGGCUGCUCGACUUCUUCAAGAAGCUGCAAGGAUUUUGAAGAGAGAGUCAGAAAGCACAGCCACUGCUGGCUCAGGAUCACAGACUGGUACUGGGACGUGUUCACCCAGUUCUUUUAGCGGUUUGUUUAACAACAUGCAAACCUCACUAGCUGAAGUACAACAGGGAACCCCUACAGUCGAUUCAGGCAGGAUUCCCUGCACUAGAAAUGACCACAUUCAAAGAAAUCUUGUGCAGCUGUUUCAGCCAUGUGAUCGGGCAAGGGGGCAAAAGAUGUUCCAGAAAACUGGAAAGUGUAAACGGAAAACUACACACAGUGAAACCUGGACACGUGAUUUCUUUUGCUUACAGAGACCAAUGUUCAAACUGUGCCCAAUGGAGAAGACCGCAUUGGUUUACAGAAUUCAGCCCUUGGUAGGAAAAAAAUAACAUUUGCAGACAAAAAUGGAGGAUUUUCUGAACUAUGUGAAACUCUGUUUUCACAUUUUCCACAAUUGAAAGGUGCAGGAGGCUUUCAGAUGUUGAGGUCCGUUAAUAAAACCAAACAAUUGGCACCAAUUCCAAUGCCAGCCGGUGAGUACAGUGAGAAAUUUCUGAGAACUGAGAGUGGCCUGAACCAGGCAAUGGCCUACAUUCGACCACUUCAGAAAAACCUGGAGAGCAUUGCGAAGCGUGAGGCUGAAGAGGUAAGAACAGUUGUCAAAAUCUGAUCUCCUCUAUAUUCCUUCUUCUUCGCCUCCCUCUACAGACCUUUCUAUCUGAAUUUCCCUUGAUUCUAUCACCCUUUCCCCUUCCUCCUCUGCCCAAACCUUGGUGUCACCUUUGAUUCCUCCCUUUCCAACUCUCAACAUAUUUCUUCACUGGCACGCUCUUACUGUCUCUUUUUGAGCAAUAUCUAUUGCAUUAAACCUGCUGGACUAUGGCCCUCGACGAUCAGGACUGGAGAUCACUGGGUUAAGGUGUAAAUGCACAUGUAACACAUACUAUAAAAAUGAAGCAUGUUAAAAAUAAAUGUGUGUUUGUUUGUUGUAGUGUCAAGAGGUGGUCAUGGAGAAGUGCAAAAGGUGUGGAAAAGAUAUCCCUCUGCAAUGCCUUUCAGAACACAUUGAAAACUGUGGAAGGUCAUCUGUUUUUCUGGUGUAUUUGUCAUAUAAAUUGCUCAUUUACUUUUACAACAUAGUGGUUGACUUGUAUCUGUGGUAAAUAUGUUUUGACAUUCAAAGCAUGUAUGUCUUUGUUAACUGUUUUCAGACAGCCUGAUGACACAGAUUUGGAAGAUGAUGUCGUUAUGGAGAUAUCUGAAGAGACUCAACUAUCUAUGUCAUCACAUGACAACACAUCCCAUGUUCAAAAUUAUUACAACAAGUGCCAUGCUUCUUGUAGUGGACUGUACAGAGACUAUGUGGACCUUGUCAGUGAAGACAAUGUAUUUAGUGAUUCUGAAGAAGAGCAGCUGAAUAGAGUUCUAGAGGAAUCGCUAAAGGAAAGCUCGCAUGCAGCUUUUAAAUUUCAAAGUCAGACAAUUAAAAAGGAACUGGAUGAUGCGGUUCGACUGGUAUGUUCUUCAGCGAACAAGAACACAGUUUGAAAGGUUGCAAGAAGGACUCCGUUCUCUCGGUGUAAUGGAUUCUAUGAAGGCCCACCCUGAAACCUUCAAACCUAUUUUCUGUCAAUCGACAGAGAAGCUGACUGCUGAUGUGCUUGAAGAGCAGCGAUCUGACUGUGGGAGUAACAAGUUUGAGAGAGAAAAUGAAGCAGUAUGUCAUUGGAGGGAUUAUCUCUUGGAUGUAGAGAUGGGGAUUUGUGGAGUUACCCUGGAGGACAUCCUUGUCUUUGCCACAGGAAGUGACAGUGUACCAGCAUUGGGCUUCAACCCUGCUCCAACUGUUGAAUUUUUGCAUGAUGGUUCACGGUUUCCACUUGCAAACACAUGUUCCAGCAUAUUAAGGGUACCAUGCAGGCAUUCAUACGAGUCCUUCAGGGAUGAUAUGGACUUUGGAAUUAAAAAUUCCCCAGGCUUUGGAAGGGCAUAACCAAAUUCCUUUGCUUACCAUACCUGUAGUCAAAGGGCACAAGUAUGUUCGAUCCUAAGAACAAUGUUAUGCAUGCCAAAGUGCUGCUAGAAUUUUUAUGUUUGUCAUUUUUGUUAUCUAUAAUUCUUUGUACACUUAAAUUUAGCAAGUGAGUCACUUUUGGUUGAGAAUUCUUACCUGUAGUUAUUAUUAUUGCAGAUAUUUAGCAGACACCUUUAUUAAGCACUACAAUUCAAUUUACUAAAAUAUUAAAAUGUAAUAGUUCAAUCUGUCAAUAUUAACAUCAGUGCCUUUAAAUAAAAGUAUAGGCUGGAUCUUUUCCCUCCUAAGGAUUUUUGGUAAUAGAGAAUUCUUAACAGUUGUUAAGUUGUUCCAAGAAAGAACAUUUUACUUUUCCUCCUUAUUAAUAAACACUAUUUGCAUUUCUGUGA